rnacentral:rRNA from 1 species
UACGAAGGGGGCUAGCGUUGCUCGGAAUCACUGGGCGUAAAGGGUGCGUAGGCGGGUCUUUAAGUCAGGGGUGAAAUCCUGGAGCUCAACUCCAGAACUGCCUUUGAUACUGAAGAUCUUGAGUUCGGGAGAGGUGAGUGGAACUGCGAGUGUAGAGGUGAAAUUCGUAGAUAUUCGCAAGAACACCGGUGGCAGAGGCGCAUCUGGACCGCAACUGACGCUGAGGCGCGAAAGCGUGGGGAGCAAACAGG